rnacentral:lncRNA from 1 species
GAUGUCCAAUAGUUGAAUAUUAAAAUCAAAUUUGAUCUGAUUUAUUUUUUUUGGUCUAUGAGAUAGACGAUUUUUCUCUUCCUCUCCUUAGAUCUAGUCCAAGGAUUCGACAAGAAAGAAGAAUAAGAGAUCUGAUCUCUUGUCUUCUUCUAUAGAUCUUUGAUUUUUUUUUAAAAGAGAAAAGUGAAAAAAAAAAUCAGAUUUGAUCUGAUUUUGAAUUCUUCAUAUAGAUCUGUUUGAUUUUCUUGAGAAGAGAAUCAAAAGGUCAAACUGAUUCGAUAAUCUAAGGAAUGAUCUCUGCAAGG